rnacentral:lncRNA from 1 species
AAUGUAUGUAGGGGCAAGGUACAGAUUUGUAACUGUGUGUGGAGGCUACAGGCUAGGGCACAGAUAUGGUAAUGUAUGUAGGGGCUAAGGUACAGCUAUGGUAUGUGGUGGCGGGCUAAGGGCUAGGGGCACAGACUAUGUAAUUGGUAUUGGGGCUGGUAGAGAGCUUAGGGU